CGCAACUAUUUCUUUUUUACACAAAGGAAUAAACGCGCCCCGAUCCCCAUCCCCCAAUUCUCUCCCUCUCCCUUUCCCUCGUGUGCCGCUGCCGCCGCCCUCCCCGCAGCCGCCGCCACCACUGGCUCCCAGAUGUGGCGCUGCUCUUCCCCACGGCCCUGACGGCAAGGCGGCGACAAGGAUGAGCUCCACCCGGACGAGGUCGAUGUGCCCCUGCCACACUUCCUUCUCCAUCGCGUCACCAUAUUCGGAGGAGCCACGGCUGCUGCUCGCGCAUCUGCUCCUCCCGGAGUUGUCGCCGUCGGCAGGAGGGAGUGCCGGGCCUCGCGCAAACUCGAGGACCGCCACUCCGGCGGCCCGCUGUUUCUGGCCGCCGUCCGCCUUGUUGGCCCUCUUCGUGGCUUGCCCUCUCGUGCCCCAUCCAUUCGCUACCAGUCAUGCACCAGGGUAAAGCGAAGAAAAUUGUUUCAGCACAUCAACACCCCCCCUCUUGCCUCUGUUUCUUCUGAUUUAUAUGAUUACCCCACGCGCAGAUCACCGUGUGCGACGCCGCUCUUCAGCGCAUCUGUGUGUGCAAUUUGUGUCAGUGCAGGACUUCCGGUGGCUGGACUGGGCGGAGCUAAGGACAAUACACGUACCAUGUCCUAUUUGUGCUGCUGACUACUUUUUUGACCAGUGCCGGGACCUUCCGCCGAUGCUGUCUACGGCAACUCCUCAGCUCAUUCAGGUUGCGGGGUCUGAGAUAUUACGCAUUCAGGUUGCAGAAUCUGAAACAGAUUGAUUUGUUCAUCACACCAAACAAGCAACUGAGACGGCAAGGCGUUUGGAUGAAGCUCUCUGCUUGAUAUGGUUAACUGGAUGGUUUAGUGAUCUGCUGUGGAGGGCUUGCACCCGCCGCCUCUUCUUCCUCUCUCUGCUUCCUUGCCCACCCCUCGUCGCACAUAAGAGCGGCGGCGGUAGUGGAUCUGCGAGAAACAUCGGAAGGCAGGACGUGGGACAGAGCAGAUUGGCGGCGGGAUGCUCCGGAAGGAGCACGAGGCAGAGCGGAUUCGUGCGACGUCACGUCGUGGAAGGAGGCGGGACGACUCGCCUCCUCGCCAUAAUCGCAGCUCCCGUCCGUUCUCGCCACGUCUCCGUCGAUUCCCCCAAUUUUGAGCCACCAAGGCCAUGGACCGGGACCUGUGUGUUCAUUUGAAGACAAGAAAGUGAAAGGGGCGCUUACCUACUUGGCACCGCCGAGCUUCCGCCAGCAAUGGAGGUGAUUGUCUGCUCUCGGUUUCAUGGCGCCAAUGGAGGUGGGUGUGAAGUGAGCACACAAUUGUUCAACGUUGCUGGAUAGGUUCUUCCUGGUCGUCUUCUUUUGUUGAGGCCCGACGUUACAAUCGUGUUAAGAACCAAUUUGGAACUUCCUAUUUCAAUGCAUAACUUCUGAGACUAACCGGGACACCAAAAACGUGGAUUGAAGAGAAGGGGGGCCUCGUCUUUUUCACAGCUCCCGAAAACAGCGUUGCUCCUACAGUGGAUGUCUCGGGCGUGGCUGGAGCUGCUGUGGUCGCAAGUUCAACUCCACAAGAGGGUAGCAGUACAGCAGUGGAGCAGCCAAAACUGACUGGUUCUAGAAGGAAGCGUAUAUUAGAUGUAUGGGAUUAUUUUAAGACAGAACUAAUCAAUGGGAAAUGGCAGGCAAUAUGCAACUGGUGUCAUAAGUCAUAUGCCGGAGAAUCAACCUCUGGUACGUCACACUUAAGGACUCAUUGUAAUAAUUGUCCGGCUCGGCAUGCACCAGUGGGUCCACAACAAAGCAAAUUAAAGUUAUCAAAAUGUGUUGAUGGGAAAGUAAAUUUGGAGACUUAUGUUUUUGAUCAAGAACUUGCUAGAAAGGAACUUGCAUUGAUGAUAUGUGUGCAUGAGUACCCUCUGUCUAUUGUUGAUCAUGCUGGAUUCCGAAAAUUUUGUGGUACUUUGCAACCAAUGUUCAAGGUGGUGUCUAGAAAUACCAUUAGGCAGGACAUCAUAAAUAUGUUUGGUGUCCAAAAGAAUAGCAUGGUGAAGUACUUUGCAAAGUUUGAGAACCGAGUAGCCAUCACAACAGAUUUGUGGACGGCUGGCCAUCAAAAGAGGGGCUAUAUGGCUGUAACUGCACAUUAUAUUGAUGCUUCUUGGAACCUAAAGAGCUUCCUAAUGAGCUAACCAUGUCUCUAUCUAAAUCAUUGUUAUUCUGAAAUAGAUGUAUUGAUUAUUGUUACUCUG
rnacentral:rRNA from 1 species